AGACUAUUAAUGAUGUGGACAAUCUCAUAGAAGAUCCUUGAAAUAUUCCCAAGCUUGAUAAAUAUUUUUAUCAGACUUCUGUUUGAAGCUUAUUAUCUCACUGUGAAGUCU
rfam:Capsicum annuum cultivar Zunla-1 unplaced genomic scaffold scaffold2265, whole genome shotgun sequence